GGUUCGCUGGAUUCAGGACUUCGAGAGGAAUCCACGAAGCCCUUAUUUGCUGGAUUUGGUGAAGAGUGUAGAGUUAGCUCGAUUCUGGACUCGGCGGAUUCCGGUUGAUCCAGCAGGUCGCUCUACACCAGUGGGAGUCCUUCGCUGCCAGGGAUUAGCUUUUUGAGAGCCACAGGUUUCGGCUGCUGUGCCUUCCGCGGAUCAGGAUCGAGGUAAGGGCGUC